rnacentral:rRNA from 1 species
AAGCAGUAGCCGCGGUAAUACGGAGGGUGCGAGCGUUAAUCGGAAUAACUGGGCGUAAAGGGCACGCAGGCGGUGACUUAAGUGAGGUGUGAAAGCCCCGGGCUUAACCUGGGAAUUGCAUUUCAUACUGGGUCGCUAGAGUACUUUAGGGAGGGGUAGAAUUCCACGUGUAGCGGUGAAAUGCGUAGAGAUGUGGAGGAAUACCGAAGGCGAAGGCAGCCCCUUGGGAAUGUACUGACGCUCAUGUGCGAAAGCGUGGGGAGCAAACAGGAUUAGAUACCCCGGUAGUCCCUGUCUCUUAUAC